rnacentral:rRNA from 1 species
UACAGAGGGGGCAAGCGUUGUUCGGAAUUACUGGGCGUAAAGGGCGCGUAGGCGGCCUUCUAAGUCGAACGUGAAAUCCCUGGGCUCAACCCAGGAACUGCGUCCGAUACUGGUUGGCUUGAAUCCGGGAGAGGGACGUGGAAUUCCAGGUGUAGCGGUGAAAUGCGUAGAUAUCUGGAGGAACACCGGUGGCGAAGGCGACGUCCUGGACCGGCAUUGACGCUGAGGCGCGAAAGCCAGGGGAGCAAACGGG